AAGUAUUAACCUGACUUUGCUCCUAAUCCGACUACUAGUCAACUUUUAAGAUUAGACCUCAAAUCAAGUAGGACUACCCGCUGAACUUAAGCAUAUCAAUAAGCGGAGGAAAAGAAACUAACAAGGAUUCCCCUAGUAACGGCGAGUGAAGCGGGAAGAGCUCAAAUUUGUAAUCUGGCACUUUCAGUGUCCGAGUUGUAAUCUCUAGAAGUGUUUUCCGUGCCAUAUCGCAUAUAAGUCUGUUGGAACACAGCGUCACAGUGGUGAGAACCCCGUAUUUGAUGCGAAUGUUGGUGCUCUGUGAUACACUUUCAAAGAGUCGAGUUGUUUGGGAAUGCAGCUCAAAAUGGGUGGUAAAUUCCAUCUAAAGCUAAAUAUUGGCGAGAGACCGAUAGCGAACAAGUACCGUGAGGGAAAGAUGAAAAGCACUUUGGAAAGAGAGUUAAAAGUACGUGAAAUUGUUGGAAGGGAAACGCUUGCAGUCAGACUUGCUUUGUGGAGCUCGCUUCAUUUGGCAGGCCAGCAUCAGUUUUCGUUGGUACAAAAGGGUAGGGAGAACGUGGCAGCUCCGGCUGUGUUAUAGCUCCUUACUGGAUGUAUCUCUGGGGACUGAGGAACGCAGUGUGCUUUUUGCGCAGGUCUCGACCUGUUCACACUUAGGAUGCUGGUAGAAUGGCUGUAAACGACCCGUCUUGAAACACGGACCAAGGAGUCUAACAUGUUUGCGAGUAUUUGGGUGUCAAACCCGGAUGCGUAAUGAAAGUGAAUGUAGGA
rnacentral:rRNA from 1 species